CAAGUUAUCCAAGAACACUAUUCACAUUCAGUUUAGCAGCACGGUACAGAUAUUUUUCGUCUGCCCUGUCUCUCACAGAAAAUUGUAAAUCUUCUGUUUUCGCUUCCAUUUCAACACGGGUCACUCUAGACUUAUAAUUUACUUCUAUAAAUCCAAUAAAAAUAGUAUCUCAUACUAUUUUUAUUUAUUUCCAUUUUUAUAUUUAAAAUCCGGUACCUUACAACUUUAGACUACUCAGUUGCGCCCUAACGGUAUAACUUUGCAACGAAUACUUUUUCUCAUUCAAUCGAACAAAGAGUAAAAAGAUUUCUAUUAUGCCCCGAGAGUGUAAAUUUGGAACGAAUCGAUGUAAACGUUCACAAGAACCAAAACCGGAACAAAAUUAGACUACUCAGUUGAGCCCUAACAGUAUAACUUUGCAACUAGUACUUUUUCUCAUUCAAUCGAACAAAGAGCAAAACCUAAUUAUAGUGUUCUCUUAUGCCCCGAGAGUGUAAAUUUGGAACGAAUCGAUGUAAACGUUCACAAGAACAAAAAACGGAACAAAGUUAGACUACUUAGUUGAGCCCUAACAGUAUAACUUUUCAAGAAGUACUUUUUCUCAUUCAAUCGAACAAAGAGCAAAACCUAAUUUUAUUGUUCUAUUAUGCACCGGGAGUGUAAAUUUGGAACGAAUCGAUGACAACGUUUACAGGAACCAAAACCGGAACAAUAUUAAACUUCUCAGUUGUGCCAUAACAGUAUAACUUUGCAACGAGUACUUUUUCUCAUUCUAUCGAAUAAGGAGUAAAAGCUUUCUAUUAUGCUUCGAGAGUGUAAAUUUGGAACGAAUCAAUGUAAACGAUCAAAAUAACCAUAACCGGAACAAAAUUAGACUACUCAGUUGCGUCGUAACAGUAUAACUUUGCAACUAGUUCUUUUUCUCAUUCAAUCGAACAAAGAGCAAAACCUAAUUAUAUUCUUCUAUUAUGCCCCGAGAGUGUAAAUUUGGAAAGAAUCGAUGUAAACGUUCACAAGAACCAAAACCGGAACAAAGUUAGAUAACUCAGUUGAGCCCUAACAGUAUUACUUUGCAACUAGUACUUUUUCUUAUUCAAUCGAACAAAGAGCAAAACCUAAUUUUAUUGUUCUAUUAUGCCCCGGGAGGGUAAAUUUGGAACGAAUCGUUGUCAACGUUCACAAGAACCAAAACCGGAACAAAGUUAGACUACACAGUUGAGCCCUAACUGUAUAAUUUUGCAACUAGUACUUUUUUUCAUUCAAUCGAACAAUGAGCAAAACCUAAUUAUAUUCUUCUAUUAUGCCCCGAGAGUGUAAAUUUGAAACGAAUCGUUGUCAACGUUCAUAAGAACCAAAACCGGAACAAUGUUAGACUACUCAGUUGAGCUCUAACAGUAUAACUUUGCAACUACUACUUUUUCUCAUUCAAUCGAUCAAAGAGCAAAACCUAAUUAUAUUAUUCUAUUAUGCCCCGAGAGAGUAAAUUGGGAACCAAUCCAUGUCAACGUUCACAAGAACCAAAACAAGAACAACAUGAGACUACUCAGUUGCGCCCUAGCAGUAUAACUUUGCAACAAGUACUUUUUCUCAUUCUAUCGAACAAAGAGUUAAAAGCUAAUUAUAUUGUUCUAUUACGCCCCGAGAGUUGUAAUUUCGAACGAAUCGAUGUCAACGUUCACAAUAACCAAAACCGAAACCAUAUUAGGCUACUCAGUUGCACCCUAACAGUAUAACUUUGCAAUCUCAUUCUAUCGAAGAAAGAGUAAAACCUAAUUAUAUUGUUCUAUUAUGCCCCAUGAGAGUAAAUUUGGAACCAAUCGAUGUCAACGUUCACAAGAACCAAAAUUGGAACAACAUUAAACAACUCAGUUGCGCUCUAACAGUUGAACAUUGCAACAAGUACUUUUUCUCAUUCAAUCGAACAAAGUGUAAAAGCUAAUUAUAUAUUAUACCCCGAGAGGGUAAAUUUGA
rnacentral:lncRNA from 1 species